rnacentral:rRNA from 1 species
AACCCGACUACAUGAAGCUGGAAUCGCUAGUAAUCGCGAAUCAGAAUGUCGCGGUGAAUACGUUCCCGGGUCUUGUACACACCGCCCGUCACACCAUGGGAGUCGGAAAUGCCCGAAGUCAGUGACCCAACCGCAAGGAGGGAGCUGCCGAAGGUGGAGCCGGUAACUGGGGUGAAGUCGUAACAAGGUAGC